CUGUCUCUCCACACACUAGAGCUUAUAGACUCCUAGGUCCUAGAGCUCAAGUCUUGCCUGAACACUGACUCCAUGGAGUUUCAGUGUACCCACUUUGAUUCUGGCGCUUAUUGGCCACCUUGGUUAUAAUUUCUCUCAGGAAGACAGAGAGCAGAGAGCCAUCACCAGCUAUAGGACGCCGUGGAUGCUGCUUUACAGGUCUGUGCUAGGACCUCUGCCAAAGAGGACCUCCUGAACACGGGGAGCCAUCCCUAGGACUGGAAGCCAACUUGGGAGCCCUGUGAGAUGUAGGUUGUCUGGUACCCUGGUCACCAGCGAGCUGUAAAUGGCUUCACUUAUGAUCAGAGACAUACAACUAUGGUAAGCUUCAUUUCUGCAAUGACUGUAAUAGUUCUUCAUCCUCAAGAGGGACCUGACUGAGGAGGCACCUCAGACUAGACAGAGAUAGAUGACUCUGGGAGUUGAAGGUCAUCUAAUAAAAGGCAGGAACAUGCUAUGAACAGCAGGGCGUGUCAGCUUCUGCAGUACAUUGGUCAACUGGACUUGGACUUUAUGCCUAUUAUCAAGGGUGAUGAAAUUCUCCAGCAGGCCUCGAAGCUCUUCCCAAAUCCAAAGUCAUGUCACAAGUGGUCUUGGAGACUAAGCACCCAAGUCCCUGGCUAUGGUUUGAGGAAGGUUUAGUGCUCUCCCGAAAGUCUGUGUUUUGCAAGUUGUUCCUCCAGUGAGGUAGUGUGGGUAGUGGUGGGACAGAGCCCAGGAGCAGUCUUGGUCUUCAGGGAAGCGCUGUGGAAAGACUUAGUUAUCUCUGUGGGGUUGUGUCUGGUCUGAAAGAGAGUAGGUUCCUCUACAGGCCUAAGUUUGACCUCGGAGCCCCUUGCCUCCCUGUCUGUCCACCUCUUACACAGCUGGGUGAGCUCUCAGCUGAGUCUGUGAUGCUGAGGCUGUCAUUAGAGGCCAAACAAAUGGGGCCACUCAUCUCGGCUACCCAGCCUCCAAACUGUGGGGUAAAUAAGCCUCUUCACAAGUUACCCUGCUGUGGUAUUUUGUUAUAGCAAUGGAAAGUGACUGUCAACUUUAGAAUCUUAAACCAAUUCAAAGUAGACUUCUGUUUCCAGACAAGAUGAUUUAUACACAUAUUGUGGUGGUUCAAUAGGAGUGGCCUCCAUAAGCUCAUAUAUUUGAAUGGUUAUUAGGGAGUGGAGUUACUUGAUAGAGAUUAGGAGGUGUGGUCUUAUUAGAGGAGGUGUGGCCUUGUUGGAGGAAGUGUAUUCCUGGGCAUGGUCUUGGGGUUUCAGAUACUCAAGACAAGCCCAGUGCACUCUCUUCCUGCUGCCUGUGGAUCCAGAUGUAGAACUCUGAACUAUUUCUCCAGAUCCAUGUCUGUCUCCAUGCUGUCAUGCUUCCUGCCAUGACGAUAAUGGACUAGACCUCUGAAACUACAAGCAAGCUCCAGGGAAAUGUUUUCCUUUAUAAGUCUUGUCAUGUUCUUAGUGUCUCCUCACAGUGCUAGAACACUCACUAAGACAGAAGGAAGUUGGUGCCAGGGAGCAAGGUGUUGCUAUAAUAGGCUGGAUCAUGCUGUUGUUGGUAGAAUGUGAAGUUUGGAUGAGAAAAGCAGUCGAACACUUUGGGAGGUUUAAUGGGCCAUACUCAUAGAAACAUGGAAGACAGGGGUGCUGAGGGCAGCCUAGAUUCUGAUCCCCAGGUCAAGAGCUUCCAGAGGAGAAGGAUUUUAGUAAGUGGCCUAGAGACUGCUCUUGUGAUAUUUUGGCAAAGAAUGUGGCUGCUUUUUGCCCUUGCCUGAAGGGUCUGCCCGAGGUGAAAUAUAAGCGUUUUGGAUUAAUGGUGUUGGCAGAGGAGAUGUUAAGACAGCCUAGUAUUGACUGUGUUGCCAGUCAGUCUUGGGCAGAUCUAUAAGGAAGAGUAGCAAGUUGAGCAAGGAAAAAUUAAAAAUGUACAGUUGGAGGAGAAAGGGUCCCCAGGAAGAGUGAUGGAGUCAAAUGGAAUAAAAGGAGGGGUGACCCCAGGACAAGACCCCGCCCAGCUCAGCUUCCAACUCGUAAAAAGGAAUUAAACUCUGAGGCAGUGAAGGAAAUGGUCAACAACAGAAAGCAGGUGCAGAUGUAAUUGAAUGAGGAGCCAUGUUCCAGCCCCAGCAGUCAGCAGAAGAACCUGGCAGCUUCUGCCACAUGGUUUGGCUAUGAGGUCGAGGAGACAAGAAAGAUACAAGGAUACAUGAAAUCCUCCUCCAAGAUGAAGGAAAGCCGUUGCUGAGGCCAGGCGUGUGUCACAGGUGUCCCUUCAAGGAGAUCCAUAGAGUCCAUGGCUUGAAGCUGUGAGGGUGAAGCCUGGAUUGCCUUGGAAUCCUCAAGAGCUUGGGGAUGCCAGAGCCAUGGGGUCCCUGCCAAGGAAAGCACUCACAUGGAGUGGAGCCAGCCCACAAUAGAGAAGUGUGUGCAGUCAACAAAGCUGAAAGGAGUUGGAGAUCUGAAGAGCGCUUUGACAUCAGCCAUGGAGAUGCAAUCUGGAGCUCACCUGGCUGGUUGUCUGUCUUGCUUUGCUAUUUCCUCACUAUGCUACCCUUCCUCCCUUUUGGAAUGGUAAUGCAUAUUUGUGCCAUUGAAUGUUGCAAGUACGUGGUCCCCCCUUUGGUUUUGAUUUUAUAGGGGGUUACCAUGAGUCUCAUAAGAGACUUUGACCUUUGGACUUUCAAGCAGUGUUGAGACUGUGAGACUGUAGGGACUUUUGAAGUUGGACUGAAUGCAUUUUUUUGCACUAUAUCUAUACAUCUAUGGGGGUCAGGGAGUGGAAUGUGAUGGUUUGAAUAGAAAUGGCCCCCAUAGGCUCAAUAUUUGAAUGUUUGGUCAUUAGGGAGUAGCUAUUUGAAAGAGAUUACAAGGUAUGGUCUUGUUGGAGUGAGUGUGACCUUUUUGGAGUGGGUGUGGCCUUGUUGGAGUGGGUGUGGCCUUGUUGGAGGAAGUGUGUCACUGGGGAUGGGCUUUGGGGGUUUCAAAUGCUCAAGCCGGGCCCAGUGUCAUUCUCUUCCUGCUGCCUGUGUAUCUGGAUGUAGAACUCUCAGCUACCUCUCCAGCACCACAUCUACCUGCAUACCGCCAUGCUUCCCACCAUGACGAUAAUGGACUAAACCUCUGAACUGUAAGUCAGCCCCAAUUAAAUGCUUUCCUUUAUAAAA